GAAUUUAAACCUCUUCCAGAGUAUCAAUUGGAGGGCGAGUCUGGUGCCAGCAGCCGCGGUAAUUCCAGCUCCAAUAGCGUAUAUUAAAAUUGUUGCAGUUAAAAAGCUCGUAGUUGAAUUUCUGCUGCAUUGCUUGUGUCCCUCCGGGGUCUGUGCAUGUGGCUUUUUUCGGACGGAGUUUCUUUGUCUGAAUGUUUACUUUGAGAAAAUUAGAGUGCUCAAAGCAGGCUUUUGCCUUGAAUAGUUUAGCAUGGAAUAAUAAAGUAGGACUUUGGUUCUAUUUUGUUGGUUUUAGGUACCAAAGUAAUGGUUAAUAGGAACAGUUGGGGGCAUUCGUAUUUAACUGUCAGAGGUGAAAUUCUUAGAUUUGUUAAAGACGAACUACUGCGAAAGCAUUUGCCAAGGAUGUUUUCAUUAAUCAAGAACGAAAGUUAGGGGAUCGAAGACGAUCAGAUACCGU
rnacentral:rRNA from 1 species